rnacentral:rRNA from 1 species
UGGCGGACGGGUGAGUAACGCGUGGAUAACCUGCCUCACACUGGGGGAUAACAGUUGGAAACGGCUGCUAAUACCGCAUAAGCGCACAGUACCGCAUGGUACCGUGUGAAAAACUCCGGUGGUAUGAGAUGGACCCGCGUCUGAUUAGCUAGUUGGUGGGGUAACGGCCUACCAAGGCGACGAUCAGUAGCCGACCUGAGAGGGUGACCGGCCACAUUGGGACUGAGACACGGCCCAA